CUUGCAGCCAUAUCAUGCUGAAACACCAAUUCCCAUACAAUGCCUGAAGUUAAGCAAUGUCAAGCUUGGUCAGUACCUAGAUGGGUGACCAGUUGGGAAUACCAGGUGCUGUAAG